CGGGGAGGAGGCAGGAGUUGGAGGAUACUUACGUGGUACAUCCUGGGAGUAGAACUUUUUAACUGCUGAGAAAAAUCAUUUUUUCUCUGAACUAGGGGCAUGCUGCUGGACCUGAGGAUGCUGCCUGCAUUCCAGCUGGGAGAUACGCAUGUGCCCCUUAAAAGUGCAAGGCUAUUACAUUCUGCACAAGAAACGAUACAUAAGCACAGGCAUUUUGAAAAAUCUCAUUUAUUGCAUAGGCUGCAGAGGUGCACUCCCUUCCUCUCUUGUCAGCCUCAGCCUAUAAAGCCCAUUUUCUACUUCUCUCUGACCUGUAACCUCAGCAGAUCUGGGUGUAGCGUGCUAGUGCUCAUCCUGACGCCGAGCGCAUAGGUAACCAGAAGUGGGAGCUCAUGUCUCAUUGCUGAGACACUACUCAAGAUGGGCUUCAGCUGGCAGCCCCCGGAGGUCCUGCUUUCCUGUCUGAGCAGGCCACGGAACCCUCCUCAUCUCAGCCCUGGAUUUUUUUUUUCUCCCAUCUUCCAAAUCCUUGCACAAUCUUGCUCACCGGCUUCUCCAGACACUCAGCAAUAAAUCACAGCAAGAGAUUUCCUGGGGAAAGUGCCAGGCCUUGAUACUUUGAAAUAAGGUCUAGCAUUGCUCCUCCAGAUGAAUGCCACAAAUGCCUUUCAGAGGGAAUGGAUUUAAACAAAAGCAAGGAUAAUCUUUGCAGCACAAAGAUUCAAGAUGAGUCUUAAAUCCAUUCCUGUUUGUUUUCCUUUCAUACCUUUGGUUCACAUCCAGGCCUCAUUCCUCCUCCUUUGGAUGCACGGUCUUUGCAUUUCCAGAGCGCUGCUCCACACACCUCACAGGGCAGCACCUAGCACGACCCUGUGAGUCUGUUCAGUUCAUCAGCUUUCAUAGCCCAUGCUCGGGGAAAUCCUCAGCACACUGACAAUUCAGUGGGUUUUCCUCGCUCUGGAUGGGCUUCAGUGCCUUUGCAGAGGGAGGGCAUUCCAGAGGCACGUGGUCAGCCACUGUGCUGGCAGCAGAGGCACCGGGAAGGCUGUGAUCCUUCUCCAAUCGCUCUGACUGAAACCCCACCCGAAGAUGAGGUGCCUCUGUGCAACAACCUUCAUGGAACCUUCUGGAAGGUUCCCUGGGGCAGCCCUAGCAGGUUCCAGAAGGAAAGUUCCUUAGGGCAGCCCUAGCAGGUUCCAGAAGGAAAGUUCCCUAGGGCAGCCCUAGCAGGUUCCAGAAGGUUCUGUGCAGCCCUCAGCACUGCUACCAGGAAGCCAUGUUUGUGCCACCACAGCCUGUGGGAUCCUACAGGGAGCAGCAGCUCUGCCCUUGCAUUGAAAGCUGAGGAGGAGCUGCUGCAGCACGGUGCUUCCCUCACCACACAGUACCUGCGGCAGCUGCUCUGCAGUCCCCUGCUGUGCAAAUCGCCCUUCACAGAGGAAGAUCUUCCUGUCAGUGACUGACGAGAGGUGCCAGGAGCAGGCUAGGAGACUUUCAAAACCCACAGCUUGGCAAAUCAGCAGGUACCUGCGUGCAGUUCUGGAUCCGCCCCUAGCAUUAGUUCCUAUCUUGUAUCAAAGGGUUUUCAGGAUGAUGUGGCCCACAGGCAGAGUUUCAGGUUAAAAGGAACACUCUCAUAGUGUUUGGCUGCGUCUAUCAACUCAUUUUUUUUGUUUUAAAUGUAAUGACACCAGCUGUUUGCUGGUGAGGGUGGGGGUUAAACAGCGACUGCUUACAACAGCCUAAGUAAGGAGAAAAUGCUCCUUGUAUUUCCCGCUUGGAUCCUGUUUGUCUUCUCCAAAGAAGUAAAGAUACCUUACAUAUUUUCUGAGGCUUAAAACAUUGAAGAGACUAAAGUACAUCAAAGUCUGAAGAGAAAGAGGGAGGGACCUGCUGUAAGUACCAGUUUCUCAAGGGGAAGUUGAAUUUUUGUGGGCCAGGAAUGCUACAGCCAGCCCUCCUCACCUUGACACACAGAAGAAGGAAGAGGCUCUGAAGGAAGUGCUAAGUGAAAAAGUCAGUCCUAAGUGAAAACACUUUGCACAAGAAGGUAUAGCUUUCAGUUUCAGGUUCUCUCCAGAGACUUAUCACUGUAUGCUGAGAACAAAACAACCAAGCCUGAAAAUGCCUAGGUGGAAGGUGAUCAGAGUUUUCUAAUUAUUAUGCACUGCAUUUUCCUGUUACUUAUUUUUUUAGCCCAUAUACUGUGCUGCUGAUAGGUUUGUAGGUCUGUCUUCCUCGGACAGAUAUUUUCCCAGAUAGUCAUAUAAUGCUUAACAAAAUCUACUCCAUAGAGUUGAUUGGUUAUUUUGCCAUGUAAAUGUCUCCUUAAGAUUCUGUUGUUAUUGUUAAGUAACUACUCAAAACAUCGCUGUGUACUACUAGCAGUUGAGAAUGGUUUAAGAGCAUCCUAACAACUCUGCCAGCGGGCUGUGCUCAGUUAGUUAGCAUGAGGGAAGUGUUCCUCACAGUUGGGUGAAAACCAAAUAACAUGAAAACCUACUCAAAAUCCAAGUUUCCUUGCUAUAAAUGUGAAAAUAAUGCACAAGGAGAGGUUAUUAAGCAAGGCAGGCAGAGGUGUUACUACAUAUCAUUUUGCCACCGCUUGUCUACCACGCAGUUGAGCAAUGCCUGACACAGAGGUGAGGAAACUCCUUCAGCUGACCUAUUGAUUUCUGGUAAACUAUACAAGGAAAAGCAAUUACUUUCCUCGCUGGAAAUAAUGGAAGUGCUUUCCUUUAACAACAGCCUUUCCUUUGUCUGCCUUGGCUAAAGAAGAAUGUACAUAUUGUCACUCUCAUUAUUAAGAGCAUUAUGGAAGCCCUUAUUUUUGGAAUUUGGACUGGGGGAUGAAAGUUCUUACUGUUCUAGUCCUUGUCAAAAUCUCCUUCUGAACGUAAUGAGUAGCCAGUUAUUUCCAGCUGUUCAGCCGUUGUGAUAGUUGUGACAGUUUCUACCAAGAGCAUAAACUUCCAAAUCUUUGUUUUUCAUGUAAGGAUAAUCUCAGAUAUACCAGAUUAAAUGAGAAAUAUGAUAAUUUUUCUUGGUUGUUUGUCUAAUCUGAUAAGCAAAAGUGUAUUUAUAUUCAAAAUAUACAUGUUUAUGUAUAUGUACAUUUAAUGUUAAAUACAUAAAUAUAUUUGUGCAUACAUGUAUAAAUAUAACUGUAAAAUAUGAUUUGUCAGAGAAAUACAAUGAUAUGCAAGACUUCACAUAUCUGCCUUGAAAACUAUUUGUACUUGACAGAAACAUUGUGUUUCACUUUCACACCCACAAGGCAUGGUAAGCUGUUUUAAUUAAGCAACUAUUUAUUUUUGCACUUGAAAAAAAAAAGAAAAAUGGAAAACAGUACAAGGAAACCUGCAACAAAUUACACAGUUUUCCUCUGACCAGACACCGGGCCUGCUCUCUGUCGGAGUAAACACCACUCAAACUGAGUUACGAGGAACAGCGGGAAGCGAAGCGCGCAGAAUGCUCACCUGGGGAA